UACAGAGGCCUCAAGCGUUAGGCGGAAUCACUGGGCUUAAAGCGUGUGUAGGCGGAUCGUUAAGUGUCUUGUGAAAUCCCACGGCUCACCCGUGGAACUGCUGGGCAUACUGGCGAUCUUGGGCCAACUAGGGGCAACUGGAACAAGCGGUGGAGCGGUGAAAUGCGUAGAUAUCGCUUGGAACGCCAAAGGUGAAAACAGGCUGCUGGGGUUGCGCCGACGCUGAGACACGAAAGCCAGGGGAGCAAACGGG
rnacentral:rRNA from 1 species